rnacentral:rRNA from 1 species
CUACAGGCUUAACACAUGCAAGUCGAGGGGCAGCAUGGUCUUAGCUUGCUAAGGCCGAUGGCGACCGGCGCACGGGUGAGUAACACGUAUCCAACCUGCCGUCUACUCUUGGACAGCCUUCUGAAAGGAAGAUUAAUACAAGAUGGCAUCAUGAGUCCGCAUGUUCACAUGAUUAAAGGUAUUCCGGUAGACGAUGGGGAUGCGUUCCAUUAGAUAGUAGGCGGGGUAACGGCCCACCUAGUCUUCGAUGGAUAGGGGUUCUGAGAGGAAGGUCCCCCACAUUGGAACUGAGACACGGUCCAAACUCCUACGGGAGGCAGCAGUGAGGAAUAUUGGUCAAUGGGCGAGAGCCUGAACCAGCCAAGUAGCGUGAAGGAUGACUGCCCUAUGGGUUGUAAACUUCUUUUAUAAAGGAAUAAAGUCGGGUAUGGAUACCCGUUUGCAUGUACUUUAUGAAUAAGGAUCGGCUAACUCCGUGCCAGCAGCCGCGGUAAUACGGAGGAUCCGAGCGUUAUCCGGAUUUAUUGGGUUUAAAGGGAGUGUAGAUGGAUAUUUAAGUCAGUUGUGAAAGUUUGCGGCUCAACCGUAAAAUUGCAGUUGAUACUGGAUAUCUUGAGUGCAGUUGAGGCAGGCGGAAUUCGUGGUGUAGCGGUGAAAUGCUUAGAUAUCACGAAGAACUCCGAUUGCGAAGGCAGCCUGCU